UUACUUACCUGGAUGGGGUAUAUGGGUGAACAAUAAGUCUCGUGGCCUAGAUCAUUUGCUCACGUUGCUCUUUGUGAGCGUGUUGAUCUACCAUCUCCUUUUGUUGGGAGAGUGGACGUCAUAACUUGUGCGAGAGAGGGUACGUGUUUGCGCGGCUCCUAA
rfam:Triticum aestivum genome assembly, contig: Triticum_aestivum_CS42_TGACv1_scaffold_592465_7BS